AUGCAGUCGACGAACUCUGGUAUUGAUUGGUGCUUGCAUCAUGAUUUACAUUUGAGUGAGUGGCGAACUGGUGAGUAACACGUGGGAAACCUGCCCAGAAGCGGGGGAUAACACCUGGAAACAGAUGCUAAUACCGCAUAACAACUUGGACCGCAUGGUCCGAGUUUGAAAGAUGGCUUCGGCUAUCACUUUUGGAUGGUCCCGCGGCGUAUUAGCUAGAUGGUGGGGUAACGGCUCACCAUGGCAAUGAUACGUAGCCGACCUGAGAGGGUAAUCGGCCACAUUGGGACUGAGACACGGCCCAAACUCCUACGGGAGGCAGCAGUAGGGAAUCUUCCACAAUGGACGAAAGUCUGAUGGAGCAACGCCGCGUGAGUGAAGAAGGGUUUCGGCUCGUAAAACUCUGUUGUUAAAGAAGAACAUAUCUGAGAGUAACUGUUCAGGUAUUGACGGUAUUUAACCAGAAAGCCACGGCUAACUACGUGCCAGCAGCCGCGGUAAUACGUAGGUGGCAAGCGUUGUCCGGAUUUAUUGGGCGUAAAGCGAGCGCAGGCGGUUUUUUAAGUCUGAUGUGAAAGCCUUCGGCUCAACCGAAGAAGUGCAUCGGAAACUGGGAAACUUGAGUGCAGAAGAGGACAGUGGAACUCCAUGUGUAGCGGUGAAAUGCGUAGAUAUAUGGAAGAACACCAGUGGCGAAGGCGGCUGUCUGGUCUGUAACUGACGCUGAGGCUCGAAAGUAUGGGUAGCAAACAGGAUUAGAUACCCUGGUAGUCCAUACCGUAAACGAUGAAUGCUAAGUGUUGGAGGGUUUCCGCCCUUCAGUGCUGCAGCUAACGCAUUAAGCAUUCCGCCUGGGGAGUACGGCCGCAAGGCUGAAACUCAAAGGAAUUGACGGGGGCCCGCACAAGCGGUGGAGCAUGUGGUUUAAUUCGAAGCUACGCGAAGAACCUUACCAGGUCUUGACAUACUAUGCAAAUCUAAGAGAUUAGACGUUCCCUUCGGGGACAUGGAUACAGGUGGUGCAUGGUUGUCGUCAGCUCGUGUCGUGAGAUGUUGGGUUAAGUCCCGCAACGAGCGCAACCCUUAUUAUCAGUUGCCAGCAUUAAGUUGGGCACUCUGGUGAGACUGCCGGUGACAAACCGGAGGAAGGUGGGGAUGACGUCAAAUCAUCAUGCCCCUUAUGACCUGGGCUACACACGUGCUACAAUGGAUGGUACAACGAGUUGCGAACUCGCGAGAGUAAGCUAAUCUCUUAAAGCCAUUCUCAGUUCGGAUUGUAGGCUGCAACUCGCCUACAUGAAGUCGGAAUCGCUAGUAAUCGCGGAUCAGCAUGCCGCGGUGAAUACGUUCCCGGGCCUUGUACACACCGCCCGUCACACCAUGAGAGUUUGUAACACCCAAAGUCGGUGGGGUAACCUUAGGAACCAG
rnacentral:rRNA from 2 species